rfam:Lottia gigantea unplaced genomic scaffold LOTGIsca_92, whole genome shotgun sequence.
UUAGGGUACGGUGAUCUGCAUCCUCGGACUGCUCUUGGUUAUAUCGUCGGAGCGGGCUGCGCCCUCUGUGGUCUGCUGAUGUUGGCAUUACCCGUGCCAGUUAUUGUGAACAAU